GCCAGGAGCAGUGGUGCACGCCUGUAAUCCCAGCAGCUUGGGAGGCUGAGGCAGGAGAAUCACAAGUUCAAAGCCAACCGCAGCAACUUAGUGAGUCCCUAAGCAACUUAUUGAGACCCUGUCUCAA
rnacentral:sRNA from 1 species